UUAAUCGUUUUCCAUCAUAAGCAAUACAUUUAGAAGCUUUAAAACUAUAAAUUCUUUCUAUAUCACAAGUAAGAUUACAUUGAUCGCAAGACAAUAAACACAACCUUCCACCAUCUUAGGUAAUAGGAGAACUUUGAAGCAAAAAUUGAAAACGAAGGUGUUACAGUUUUGAGAAAGAUGAAAUGGAAUUCCACGUUCGUCUUUAUGAGUUGCUCUUUUGAAAGACUUUGCAAAGAUGCCUUUGGCUGGGUGAUCAAAAAAGUACUAUCUCAAAUCACGAAACGAUUUGGGUUAUGCUGAAACGGAAUGUCAUAUAGGUGGCAGCCCAAACCUUGGAUGUACUGGUAUCGGAUGGACAUUUCUUGAAAACAUAAGUGGAAGCUCCUCAACACUGCCAAAUUUUUCAUCGGGAUGUUACGAUAAAGGAUUUAACGUUGGAGAUGUAAAUUUCAAUCAGGCUCGUUUUGGUAUUGUUUCUGUUAACAGACCAGGAUGUAAUAAUACUGUUGCUCAAGCCAUUGGUGUAGGAAUAAAAAUACAUGGAAGGAAGAAUAUCCGUGUAAAUGGUGUAGUUAACAAUGUGAUGUCACUUAUUUUGCUUCCUACCUAGACUUUAGCUUUUAUGCUCGUUCCCGUCCUCCUAGAAUUUAGCUCUUAAUUCUAAGAUUUUAAUCUGCUAUUAUGCCGCCAGCACUUGCUUAAAUGAUUCCAAUAUA